rnacentral:rRNA from 1 species
GCUUACGGCCAUACCAGCCUGUGGUACGCCCGAUCUCGUCUGAUCUCGGAAGCUAAGCAGGGUCGGGCCUUGUUAGUACUUGGAUGGGAGACCGCCUGGGAAUACCAGGUGCUGUAAGCA